GUUGAGAUGUGUUUACUUAUACUUUGGGACACUAAAAUUUUUUUAAACUAAUAUUUCAAAUCAGAGAGGCACCAUUAUCUUUAGUCUAUUUUUUAGGAUUUUAGUUGAUAUACAUUCUCGAUGGAUAACAAUAUUCUUUCAAAACAAAGUGUUGUUGCAAUUAAUUUUGACAUUUUUCAGACAAAUGGGAACAGUUGGCAUUUGUCCCAAACUGGCUAUCAGCUGUUGUUUUCCAUCAUUAUCAAAAAUAAUGUGGCCAACGUUGUAUAUUUAAUGUGCCUUUCUGAUAGUGUAAGAAAAGCCUCUUCCUAGGUUUGAAUUUCUCUGAUAUGGAUUCUUUGUAACAGCUAAUUUAUGGAAUCCAGCAAAUGAGCUCUAGGAGAAAAUUAUUUUUCCUUGUUAAAGAAUAAUCUCAGCAAUGGUAAUCAUAGAAACACUAUGGUAAUCAUUGGUAAUCAUUGAAACACUUUUCCUUAGGUUUGCCACGGAAAAAUAAUCUACUUUAGUUCUCUACUUUAGUUCUUUAAUAAUAGUUUGAGAUCGCAAACAAGCAUGAAUAUUCAUUUUCUGUGAACAUUAAAGCUACUAGAGAUGUGCAGACAGGCUCCAAUGAAUAUUGCUUUUGAAACAGCAUGAAUUGACAAAUGUUCUGUGUCUCAUCUCAGCCAAUAAGGAAGUUUGAGGUUUUUAUUUUUCUCUAGAACAUCCAAAUAAUUGCUUUCUUUCCAUGUAGAUCAGGAGUCAUCCUUCCACUUCAAUUUCCUGUCAAAAAGCAGUUGUGCAAAUUAAUUUCUCUGAGCCUCAGUUUCUUCAUAAGAAUGAUGAUAUCUGUCUACCAUACCUGGUUGCUAAGGAUCAAAUAUGGAAAUACUUUUUGGAAGACAGGAAAAUACUAUGUCCUUUUAACAAGCUAAACCGUAUUUCUCUGCUGCACAUGAAGAGACUGACGUUUGGAGAGGUUAAGGGACAUCCAAGCUGUUGAGUAGCAAAAUGGAUUCCAGUCCAGUACACUUUUCAGUCUGCGUUCAUAUUGUAACAUACAUGUGGAAAAAAAAUCUGUGCUGCAGUUGGGAAGAAAGGGAGAAAGAAACAUGUUUUCACCCUUUUCACCUUCAAAUUAAGAGCGUGAUUGUUGACAUGGAACACCCACCGUUCAUUUAGAAGCUGUUGUAUUGACUACUACUUUCCUGUUCCUCGGAUCUGCUCAUCUGAAGGGGUGGUGCUGAUGGGGAUUCGAACAGCUGCACAUUUCCAACAUAGUAUUCCCUAAAUGGUGUCAAAUGACUGGGAAUGAAGUUUUGGUGACUGGAUGAUUUAUUCACUUAGUCAUCGUUGUUCCGUCAGGGGAAACAAUAAGAGGCUUUUGUUUGUGUUUCUG
ensembl:lncRNA